GGAUUAGAUACCCUGGUAGUCCACGCCGUAAACGAUGGAUACUAGCUGUCGGGACUUCGGUCUCGGCGGCCAAGCGAAAGUGAUAAGUAUCCCACCUGGGGAGUACGUUCGCAAGAAUGAAACUCAAAGGAAUUGACGGGGGCCCGCACAAGCGGUGGAGCAUGUGGUUUAAUUCGAUGAUACGCGAGGAACCUUACCAGGGCUUAAAUGCGGGCUGCAUGGGACAGAGACGUCCCUUUCUUCGGACCGCCCGCAAGGUGCUGCAUGGUUGUCGUCAGCUCGUGCCG
rnacentral:rRNA from 1 species